rnacentral:rRNA from 1 species
UACGUAGGGUGCGAGCGUUGUCCGGAAUUAUUGGGCGUAAAGAGCUCGUAGGCGGUGUGUUACGUCGGCCGUGAAAACCUGCAGCUUAACUGUGGGCGUGCGGUCGAUACGGGCAUCACUGGAGUUCGGCAGGGGAGACUGGAAUUCCUGGUGUAGCGGUGAAAUGCGCAGAUAUCAGGAGGAACACCGGUGGCGAAAGCAGCUCUCUGGGACGGUACUGACGCUGAGACGCGAAAGCGUGGGGAGCGAACAGG